GUGGGGAAUAUUGGACAAUGGGCGAAAGCCUGAUCCAGCCAUGCCGCGUGAGUGAUGAAGGCCUUAGGGUUGUAAAGCUCUUUCAGCGGGGAAGAUAAUGACGGUACCCGCAGAAGAAGCCCCGGCUAACUUCGUGCCAGCAGCCGCGGUAAUACGAAGGGGGCUAGCGUUGUUCGGAAUCACUGGGCGUAAAGCGCGUGUAGGCGGAUCGUUAAGUCGGGGGUGAAAUCCUGAGGCUCAACCUCAGAACUGCCUUCGAUACUGGCGAUCUUAGAGUCCGGGAGAGGUGAGUGGAACUCCUAGUGUAGAGGUGAAAUUCGUAGAUAUUAGGAAGAACACCAGUGGCGAAGGCGGCUCACUGGCCCGGUACUGACGCUGAUAUGCGAAAGCGUGGGGAGCAAACAGGAUUAGAUACCCGUGUAGUCC
rnacentral:rRNA from 1 species